CUUGUGGCCCACUUUAGGUUUUUAACCUUUUACUUUGUUUUCGAAAAUGGGGUGUGGCAAUUUUAUUUGUUGAUAUUAGUAAUUUUGUUUGUUUAUGUGUGAAUAUAUUCUGUAAAUAUUCCUGAUUAAGUCCCACUGAUAUACAUGCCUUUCCUCCCGUAGAUUCUGUAUUGUUCCAUAUUGGUGGAUAUGCAAGUGUGAAAUUUUGUGACAUAUGGUAGUAACUAGUAAGUAGAGUUGUUUGUUCUUUUAACUUCUAAAAGAGAUUCCUCGGAUGGAACAAUGUACAUGCUUUUUAAAACCAAAUUGUGUCUGUUGAACCAAAAUUUUUGUGAUCACCGUUUUCAACAUAUGCAAGCACUUGUAUCUACUGGGCCACAAAGGUUAUCAAUUUCAUUCUGGUAUUAGUUCAUGUUGGGAAUGACUUUGUUUUGCAAAUUAAAUAGUUGCAAAGUUACUGCAAAACAACGGCAUGGAAUUUAGUAGUGGUCUUGCUCUCAUUUAUUUUCUUUGUUUUCCUUUGAAAAAAUAACAUACUAGCUAUUGUCUUUGAUUGGAAUGUAGAAGAUAGUACAUGUUUUCAUGGUUUUAUUUUUUGUUGUAACAACCGGUGAAGCAUGAUUAACUUUUGAAGCAUUCAUGGAGUAAAUGAUUAACUUUUAAUGUGUUUAUUUGUUUUUUAUUUUUCGUUUAAAAUAAUACAGUUUUUCUGGUUCGACCCCGGUCAAACCGUUUGGAUCUCUGUACCAGUGUGUGUCCAUAUAUUAUAGUACGAUAGUUGGAGAUACCCUUUAACUUCAAGAAAGUAACUAGUCGUGUGCGUCGAUAUAUUAAUUUUCUUUGCUUUUUCAUUGUUAUUUCAUCUCGGGAGCGGAAAUCCCCACCUGUUUAGCCAUACCCUGUAAACAAUGAAACGAUCGGUUGGUUGCUGUUAUGUACUUGAGUCUUUGCUGCGACAUUUUACCGAUUCAUUAAUUUUUGAAUCUCAUCAUCGGUAUAUGGCUGCAUAGCUGCUUGACUCCUAUCAUUCGUUAUGACCGGCUUGAAUUAGUUCCCCCGGUGUUUCCGUUGGCCAGCACCCAGGCGAGAGCCAUUUCCAGCCGUGUAAUGUUGUUAUUCCAUGUCAGGUCCAUCCCAGUUCAACAUGCUCUGUGUCGUGUGCCCGAAAAAGCACGAAAGAAACCCCUGUUAGGGGUCCAUAUGCGGGCGACGAUGGUUCUCUCUUCUCAGCCGCAAGUUGUGGCUCAUCCUGUGGAGCAUACCACCACA